rnacentral:lncRNA from 1 species
GUGAUCUAAAAGAACAGGAGCCAAUAUUGGAAAAUUACUUUUGUAAAAAAAAGAGUAAAAAGGACUACAAAGAUUAUUUUUUUAGCCCUUAGGUUCAGUUUCUUUCUCAACCAUACUUUUUACUAUAUCUACUUACAAUGAACACAAGUGAUUGACCAAUUGGAUUUGCAAAUCCAAACCAAGGAAAGGUGUCCAUUAAAUACCCCACAUUUGGAGGGAAUGCCAUAGUAAUUUAAGAAGUCUAUAACUUAGUUUCUUUUUUCCCUUUAUGUUGUUAUUUUAGCCAAGGGUCUGUUUCCCUAGAGUAGCAAAGAACACUUGAAAAAUCUAAAGGACUGAACGCUGAUUUCAGAGAUCAGGGCAGGAGGGAAGACUAAGCAAGCAAAGACUGGUAAGACAAAAGAAGCCUCAGACUUUAGAUCCCAUCGACUUAGCGCUGGGCUCCAGCUGUUUACAUGCAUGAAACUCCUACCAUCCUCUUUUGAUUUGCAACAUGCGCUGAGCCUAGGACAAAAGAACAUCCUCUUAUUCACAAGUCGUGACUCAUGUGAAAAUUGAAACUUCAUGCUAUUUUUUAUUAAGGGCUUUGCUUUCUUUCUGUGGGUCAGAAUAAUUGGGGGAGGGAGAAGAUAAACACAGUAAAAUAAACAUGAACAAUGGAUAAAUCCA